GUCUAUAUAGCUUAUGUUAGAGUUUAGCACUGAAGUUGCUAAGGAGUAGUUUACUGUGGACA
rnacentral:tRNA from 1 species